rnacentral:misc_RNA from 1 species
UCUCCGUUGGUGAACCAGCGGAGGGAUCAUUGCUGGAACAAACGCCCUCGCGGGUGCUACCCAGAAACCCUUUGUGAAUUUUCUAAAUUGUUGCCUCGGCAUGGUUGGCCUUCUGAAGGUCCCUCUAGCGAUAGAGGAGCAGACCGGCCGGCGGCCCCUAUAAACUCUUGUUUUUUGUACUGUCUCUUCUGAGUAAAAAAAACAUAAAUCAAUCAAAACUUUCAACAACGGAUCUCUUGGUUCUGGCAUCGAUGAAGAACGCAGC